AAUCUUGCUGGAGAUCCCUCUAUGCUAGAGUUCUUUUGGAGCCUCUUCACAGGGCUGUGAACUACUCAUAUAAGCAAUGGCUAUAGGAUUUACCCCAGGUUAGUGGAUGGACAAAAGCUGCUGAGUGAAGCACUGUGCCCCUCCUUGGGUGAAACCUUUUCAAAUGCUUCCAACAACAUGAAAAUGAUUGUUUGAAUUAAAGGAAUAGCAAACUGUGGGAAAGGCUGUACUUGAACGAAUGCUAAGACUUGAUGCACCUGUGGCAAAGCCCACGAACCCCCUCCAUUAAGGUCUCCUAGAUGGUUAAACCCAAUCAAAAGACAAAAACAUGGAUAGAACUGGGAAGGAUUCAACUGAAGAGGAAACCGAACCCUUGGGUCAAUGCAGGAAUGGUAUUUGGUGGGCUAAGGGGGAGAGAUCUAUCUUUGAGGAGCAGUCAGGCCAAGUAAUGAGGGGGUUCUUCAAAACCCUUUGGCACUUGCUGGCACACUUGGGGCAAGCACCAAGGAUGUAUCACAGAUCCAGCAAAGAAACAAGGUUGAAAUUGCUGUUUAAAAUGACACUUAUCCAAGCCAUUAGCACAGUGUCUGCACAUUAACACAUCAGCACAAAGAGCUGGGUCUUGAAACUAACAACUCGUGCCAUUAAUCUUAUUGAUCUAUGGUGAAGAUUUGACCCAGGGUUCGCAAGUGGGGUUUUGCUGGUGGUGCAGGGCCAUGCAAUGCAAUGGGAUGAUGCAGACCUCAGCAGGACUAGUGUUACCACUGAUAGUAGUUGGGAAGGGAGUCAUAUGGCAACUGAUCUCACUGCUCUUGAGUCCCCUCUAAAAAUGCUUGCACUUCCCCAAGAAUACAAUAUAGGUGAGGCAGAAUUGUUGGAUGGAAUGGGAAUUAGGAAAGGAAUGGUUAUGGACAGACUUGCUUAUUUUGCUCCAGUCAGAGUUGGCUCAGCAGAGCCUGUCUAGUGCUGAGCUGGUAACCAUUAGAUUUGCAUUCCUGCAGGUAAAUGCAAGCUAGCAGCAGAUUGCUAGCUAGCUAGAAUUUUAGCUAGCAGAUGGGUUGUCUAAACUUGAAGCUCUACCAUGCUAACUGCAUUGCAGACCUGUCUCAUCUGUGGAACUUUUCUGGCCUAGGGUGCCCUGCCCUGUUCCACCAGUAAAACCCAAUAUGCAGAGGGUUGUAAUCAGCACUGCCAGACACAGCUCUUGCUCAGGUGAAAAUCUAUCCACAGCCAGAGUUGCUGUGACAUAGCAGCUUUCUAGGGAAGCUUCUGGAGGACAAUUUUUUAGCCAGCCUCUAGUACAACCUUGGAAAAUGUCAAUUAAGCCCUGUUGUCAUUCCAUUUCUCUUCAAUGUGGCUUCAGUAAAGAGUGAUACUCUUCACUCCAGAUAAUUAACUAACUCAUUAGUCUUACUUCUUUGCUCUACUGUCAUGACACCUCUAGAUGUUCCUCCUUGUUUUGACAGGGUUGAGGAUCAAUUUGUUUUCCAGAUUUUUGGGGUGUUUCUUAAAAGAAUUUGAUGGAACACCUGUGAUUUCAUCUGGAAGCUGCUUUUAUCCUCUGUGUAUAGAACAGAACGCCCUUCAGUUCAUAUGGCUAUCAGCUGUUGGUUGGGCCCAGCAGAGAUCCCUGCCUUUUCUACAGACAUGAAUACUCUUGAUAAAAGUCUGAUUUUUUUUUCAGAUUCAAAUAUUACAGAAUCUCCCAAUGCUUGUUCCAUUUCCUUGUGCCUUUAUAUCAUUCAUCACUUGCACAACAAGUUGUGCUGUUAUCAACACCAGACCAUUAAAUAGAGAUCCAACCAUCAUUUCUCUGCAGAACAACUCUCAUGAAGAAAACAGUCAACUGUUUCCCUCAUCUUUACUCUAAAUAAAACAUCACAAAAGUUAAGACAUCUGCUAGUUCAACCCAGUAUUUGUUAAUUUACACCUUUAGCUUGCAUAAGUGUACAAGAUGGAUUAAAAUUGGGGUAGUACUGUACUUCAUUAUAAAUAUAAGCUUCUGUGAUAUGGUUUUCAGGAUAUUCUGUCAUUAUCUAUUAUUCCACCCCAAUAAAUCUUUAAACAUGCGU
ensembl:lncRNA